GUACAGUAGUUGUCCAUCGCCUAAGAAUAGAUUUGUCUGUUGCCACCUUGCUACGAGGAGAAUGUACCACAAUUCAUUGUGGAUUGAAAAUUGUUCUCCCAAUGUACUCCAUUCCAGCUUUUCCUUCCUGAAACAUAGACAUUGCAUGCCACCCAGAGGUGAAGCCAUCAGAUCAUCUCAGCAGCCAUCGCUGGUCACCUUCUCCCGGUCCUCUCAGAUCCUGGUUUCUCCUGCUGCUCGCUGCCAGCCGCCGCUUGCUCACGGUCUGCAAGACACCCCAACUCCUUCAGCCGUCCCUCCAGGACUUGUGACAGCUCCAAUGAGCUCCACGGACACAGGAAAAGUGACUUGCGAAGUGGAGAAGAUUGCUCGCACUGCUGCUUUCUCCAACAGCUGGCCCCGGAGAUGGCACCUCCCACCCACCAGAUUAGCUAAAAUGAAUGGCUUCCAAUCUUCGACAUGCUGGAAAUGCCUGAAAGAACGAAGCACUUACUACCAUAUGUGGUGGAAGUGCAAGAAAAUGCAAGAAUUUUGGCAAAAAAAUUGGCAAUGGAUAGAGGAAAUGUUAAAUGUAAAAAUAAAUUAUACACCAGAAAUGUUCUUACUAGGAAUAACAAAUGAGAAUCUUAAAAAAGCAGAUCUGUAUCUAAUUAUACAUAUUAUCACAGCCGCAAGAUUAUCAAUUGCCCAAAUAUGGAAAUCAAAAGAAAUACCUAAUGAUGAAAUACUAAA